GGCUGAAGGACCUGUGUGAUGCUGUGGAGGAGGCGGGGCUGAUUUGGAGAGGUUGGAUGUCACUCCAGUAAGGACUUGACCCCUGCUUGGAUGUCUUUGUUUCUUGGGAUAUGAGCACCACUAAAUAGCUUCAUCUGCCUGUGCGCCUUACCCCCUCUGAACGCUUCCAAGCUCCUGCGCAGGAUCAUACUGCAGAUGGAAACGACAUCAGAGGAAAGCUAAAAUAAAUCCCCUCUAUUAGGGAUCAGCUGAUAUUGCCAGUGAAGAAUGUGGAUCGGUGGCAAAUUGAACGAACCCUGAAUCGGACUCAAGACAGAAAAUAUAUUUUUCUUCAUUACAUAAUGUGAUAUAGUACUUUUUAUAUUUUUUUUGUAUACUUUCUUUUGUUUGUGGACUGGUAUUGAGCCAGUGAGUAUAUAGACACAUUUCCCUUCCGCCCUAGGAAUUUCCUUCUG